GACGAACGCUGGCGGCGUGCUUAACACAUGCAAGUCGAACGGAAAGGCCUCUUUCGGGGGGUACUCGAGUGGCGAACGGGUGAGUAACACGUGAGUAACCUGCCCUUGACUUUGGGAUAACUUCAGGAAACUGGGGCUAAUACCGGAUAGGAGCUCCUGCUGCAUGGUGGGGGUUGGAAAGUUUCGGCGGUUGGGGAUGGACUCGCGGCUUAUCAGCUUGUUGGUGGGGUAGUGGCUUACCAAGGCUUUGACGGGUAGCCGGCCUGUGAGGGGGGCCGGCGGAGGGGGGAGGGUGGAGAGGGGGGGCGAAGCGUGAGGGUGCACCGCGGUGGAGGGGGUGCCGGCCUUGGUGUUGUAAACCGUUACGUCCGGUGACGAAGUGUGGGGUGGCGGUGGGGGUUAAAGAAGCACCUGCUAACGACGUCCCAGCGGCCGCGGUAAUAAUCGGAAUCGCACACGUCUGAAC
rnacentral:rRNA from 1 species